rnacentral:snRNA from 1 species
GGAUGUGAGGGUGAUCUGGCUGCGACAUCUAUCACCCCAUUGAUUGCCAGGGUUGAUUCGGCUGAUCUGGCUGGCUAGGCGGGUGUCCCCUUCCUCCCUCACCGCUCCAUGUGCAUCCCUCCCGAAGCUGCGCUCUCAGUGGUAGAGGACGACCUUUCCCGAAUAGAGGAGGACCGGUCUCCGGUCAAGGGUAUACGAGUAGCUGCGCUCCCCUGCUAGAACCUCCAAACAAGCUCUCAAGACAGCAUCUUGAACAAAUGGAGCUGGGCAAAUUGGAUAACCACAUGUAGAACAAUGAAACUAGACCUACUUCUCU